CCUACGGGAGGCAGCAGUGAGGAAUAUUGGUCAAUGGACGAGAGUCUGAACCAGCCAAGUAGCGUGAAGGAUGACUGCCCUAUGGGUUGUAAACUUCUUCUAUAAAGGAAUAAAACGCGGCACGUGUGCCUUUUUCCAUGGCCUUUACGAAUAAGGAUCGGCUAACUCCGUGCCAGCAGCCGCGGUAAUACGGAGGAUCCGAGCGUUAUCCGGAUUUAUUGGGGUUAAAGGGAGAGUAGAUGGGUUGUUAAGUCAGUUGUGAAAGUUUGCGGCUCAACCGUAAAAUUGCAAUUGAUACUGACAGUCUUGAGUACAGUUGAGGUAGGCGGAAUUCGUGGUGUAGCGGUAAAAUGCGUAGAGAUCACGAAGAACCCCGAUUGCGAAGGCAGCUUACUAAACUGUGACUGACACUGAUGCUCGAAAGUGUGGGUAUCAAACAGGAUUUGAUACCCGUGUAGUC
rnacentral:rRNA from 1 species